AAUAGUAAUUUUGACAGUUGCAGUUUCAACACAUCUGAAAGGCAACAAGGCAAGUUCAUCUGGAUUUUGCUGUCUAAAAGUAUUAUUGUAUGGCUUGUACCACAUAUUACUCAGACAGGUUUGCUAGAGUUUAUGAGCUGGUGUUUUGGAGUCAGCUGAGCCUUAGCUGACCAAUGACAAUUUGUGAAUGGUACCCUUUGAUUUUUUUUUCCAAAUGCAUGAUAUUUGGCUUCUGAAAAAAUGCAUUUUCCCUCAGCUCUUAUUUAAUGCAUUUAGCAAAGUUUUUUUUUAAAAAAACUGUUAAGCUUUUUGCUCUACUUACAACUUGUUCCUUAAUUUCUUUUAUUCCGUAUGUACAAUAUUAUAUGUCUUUUUACUCCUAAAACAUAGAUAUACCAUAUGCUUUCCUUCCUUGCAGUGCACAUAGAACCUGGUACAUGUGAAGUCAUUGCUGCCCACAGGUGCUGCAAUAAGAAUAAGAUUGAAGAGCGCUCCCAAACAGUGAAAUGUUCCUGCUUUCCAGGUCAGGUGGCUGGGACAACACAUGCUGCUCCUUCAUGUGUGGAUGCAUCAAUAGUGCUUCAGAAGUGGUGGUGCCAAAUGCAGCCAUGUGUAGAAGGAGAGGAAUGUAAAGUACUACCAGAUUUGUCUGGAUGGAGUUGCAGUACUGGAAACAAAGUAAAGACAACUAAGGUCACACGAUAGAUCUUGGAAGAUCCAUUGUUAUCAGAUGUCAUCUUCAUUGAUAUGGCCAGCGUUCCAAAAAUGGCACAAUAUGGCUUUUGUUCAGGUGCAAAAUACUUCUCGUAUGCUUUGCAGAGUUGGAAAUAUGAAGAUUUCCUUGGUGCAGGAUAUAAUGCAUUUGAGGUAUAGGAUGGCUAUUUUUUGUGGGCACUUUAUUAAUCUUCCUCAAGUACAUCAGCCUAGAGAAUGGUGCUGCAGUCUGCUUCCUUUUGAAAGAACAGUACCAAGGAUUAAAGAACAGGAUUGGUAUUCCUGUCUCAGCAGAUAUCUUGGAAAUUUUUCCUUGUUUUUGAAAAUAAAAUAUCGCAUCAGCUACUGAUUAAGUAAGUGCAGCCUCAAAGGUAUUUAACAAUCAAUUGUUACCAAUUCUACAAUUCUGGGUCUUGAAUGAGGUUACAACUCCCUUCUGUUCCAUAAUUUCUAUUCCAUAUCAUGGAUAUACCUAUGAGGAAAGAGAGAGACAAACAAACAUUUCUUCCCUUUCUGUUCAGUCAACUAUUCUUCACUGCAUAGAGUCUGUUAAUGGCCCCAAAGGGGCGAAAAAGCUUUCUUUCCUUUUAGCUGUUUUUUGUCUUAAAGCUUGCUAUGUUGAUUGCUAAAAGAAUUGGAAACUUAAAUGGAUGAUUCAACAUAAAAUUAGGGUAUUUACAAAUGAUUUAUAGUCAAUGUUUUAUUGAUUUCAUAGAUAACAGGCUUUGAAAAUUUGGGUCCAAGAAACCAAAUUCUGGUCUUUCAAAAAAGAUCAUGCAGUUGUUUCAAUAUUUAUCAAGACAGCAGACCAGAUUCUUUGCCAAAGUUAUGGGAACAUCUGCAGUAGAGAUAGAAUCCAAAACUUUGAUGAAAGAAAUAUCUUCUGUUUGAUUUCCACAAAAGAUAUUCUCCCUGACCAUUCUUUCACCCUGUUCAGCAAUUAUUUUAAUCAGGCUUAUUAUAAUUUUAAGUCUUUGAUAACUUUAAAGUUGUAAGGAUAAUUUGUUGGAUAAAUUCUAUUAAACGUCUGAGAACAAAGAAAGUAUUGUCUUUCACUUUGCUGUGUUGUGCUUGGUUGAGUUUAAAUUUUAUUUGAAGACUUGAGUUAGUUUAAUUACCCACUUAGUAUUAAAUAAAUACUUGUAACGGACAACUAUAAUGAGUACAAAUCCCUUUUAGGGGCAAAUUAGUGUUUUUAAUAAUCUAUUCUCUAUUAAAACAAUACUAAAAUCCCUAGUUAUUUUACUCCUAUUUGUAUUAGGGGAUGAAGGAACAUUCAUUUACUCCUAUUUGUAUUAGGGGAUGAAGGAACAUCCACUUGUCUUUGGUUUAUUAAGACAAAGUUUUGAAGAUUUUUUUUAAAGCUGCUAGAGGAAAUCAACAAACAUAGAACAGUGUUGUCUCUGACAAAAUUAAUGUCAUAUUUUGAUAAUCUGGCUUCCUAGUAGAAAACUAUAUUUAAGGUCCAUGUAAAAUUUCAUAGCAAAUGGAAAAUUAAUAAUAAGGAUGUAGACAUGUUCCUUUAACAUAAAUCAUUAUUAAUUUUUCUUAUUAACUAUUGAAAUCCACUUCUACUUUAUAAGCAUCUGUAAAAAUGUUCCAUAUCUGUAUCCUAUUAUGGCUACCUUGAUUCCUGACAUUCUGUUGAUAUAAUAUAGGAAUGAGGCUGCAAGUAUAUAAAUUGCAAAGUAAUAUCCAAAGUCAAUAUCUAAUUCCAACUAAUUUAGAUGGAUUGGAGUAUCCAGGAAGAAUGUAGUGGGCAAGCAGAUGCACCUUCCAAACUUUGCCUUGCCCUGUCCUGUUUUGGAGUGGCCUGGCCUCCAUGCUGUGACUGUAUGAACCCCCCAACUUUGUUAUCUCAACGUUUUUGUAACACACUAUGUUUUACUUGCUUCAGAUGCUAUGUAAAUAACAGACUGUGAAAUAUUAAAGUUCGUUUUAAUCUCUGUAA